CAGACCAGGACACAUAUCCUUGUGAGCUCCUUGGUCAUCAGCUGGUCCAUCACCGAGAUUAUUAGGUACUCCUUCUUUGGCAUGAAAGAGUUGUUCGGAUCUGCCCCGUCGUUGCUUCUAUGGCUUAGUCGAACCUGUAUGUUCCUAGUCAUGUACCCAGUUGGCAUCAACAGCGAGGUUGGCUCGAUAUACAUUGCCUUGCAGUUCAUCAAGGCAUGGGAGAAGUACCGCAUCAGAAUGCCCAACAAAUGGAACUAUUCAUUUGAUUACUUCUACGCAUCAAUCCUGGUACUCCUAGUCUAUGUUCCAGGAAGCCCACAUAUGUACACCUACAUGCUUGGGCAGCGCAAGAAGGCGCUUGCAAAAUCAAAG
rnacentral:rRNA from 1 species